UACGGGGGGGGCAAGCGUUGUUCGGAAUUACUGGGCGUAAAGGGCUCGUAGGCGGCCAACUAAGUCAGACGUGAAAUCCCUCGGCUUAACCGGGGAACUGCAUCUGAUACUGGAUGGCUUGAGUUCGGGAGAGGGAUGCGGAAUUCCAGGUGUAGCGGUGAAAUGCGUAGAUAUCUGGAGGAACACCGGUGGCGAAGGCGGCAUCCUGGACCGACACUGGCGCUGAGGAGCGAAAGCCAGGGGAGCAAACGGG
rnacentral:rRNA from 1 species